rnacentral:rRNA from 1 species
UUUGUCGGAGAGUUUGAUCCUGGCUCAGGACAAACGCUGGCGGCGUGCAUAAAACAUGCAAGUCGAACGGACUUCAGUCCGCAAGGACUGAAGUGAGUGGCGAACGGCUGAGUAACACGUAGGUGACCUGCCCCGAAGUUUGGGAUAACAACUCGAAAGAGUUGCUAAUACCGGAUGUGACCACCGAUUCAUUUCGGUGCUUAAAGUCGCAAGACGCUUUGGGAGGGGCCUGCGGCGGAUUAGCUAGUUGGUGUGGUAACGGCAUACCAAGGCUUCGAUCCGUAGCUGGUCUGAGAGGAUGGCCAGCCAGACUGGGACUGAGACACGGCCCAGACUCCUACGGGAGGCAGCAGUUAGGAAUUUUGCGCAAUGGAGGAAACUCUGACGCAGCCACGCCGCGUGAGGGAUGAAGGCCUUCGGGUCGUAAAC